UAUCUAGACUACAAAAACUGGCAAUACCGGUCACCUUUCUAUAUCGGCCAAUAGCUUUUUCAUUUUUAGUGGCCGUUACUGACAGGUUUUACUGUAAUUGGUUUGGGGAAUUUUUAAACUGGCCGUUAGUACAGGUGGCCGGUGUUUGCAGGGGGCCGGUAACACAGGUUUUACUGUAGUUUAAAUCGAAAAGAUUAAAUCUUAAUUCAAAAUUGUAUAUAUACAAUUAUUACAAUUAUAAACUAUAUAUAGUUUAGUAUCCAAAACAUGUUUUUGAUUUUAUGUAAUGUAAUGAAAAUCUUAUUUGUAAAUUAUUGGUUACAACUGUUUAACAAUAGGAAAUAUUCAAGAAUAAAUAAAAUAAAAGUUUAAUCCUAACAACACAAAACAUUCCAGGAAUGUAGGUACUACCGUUCUAUUCCGUGAACAUCUAUCUGAUUAAAUUAUGGGUGGAAAGUUACCACAAGAUAUUCUAUGAACAUAGUACAAUGUCUUCCUGGAGGGGUAAAAUUUUCCAUUACAAGAUUUUAAGAGAGGCCAUUUACUAUUCAAUUUGCGUUCAUUUUCAAAUUUGCCGCGCGAGUAUCUAUGUAGCGUCACGUGGUCAUUGGCAUUCAUUGGUCAUCACAUUUCAUAUAUUUAUUUCAUUUUCAUGGAUAACCGAUAACCUAAAAAUUUAGUAAAAAUUUUGAUUGGAAAAAAAUGCAUCGAUAACUGUCGAUAAGGGGGUGUGGGAAAUGGAAAUUAGUGGCUUUUUUGCUGUACUAUCUGCCAGUUUUUGCUCUGGGCUCUGGCUGGAUCUCUUGUUUAAACAAUUUUAAUCAGCUGAAAGUGGCCUACAAAAAAAAACCAAGAAGGAAAUGUAUAGCCUUGUGGCUAUGAAAGGCAAAAGAGAGAUAUAAAAAGUGUAUUGGCUAGUUGGAAGAAAGUCCACAUUGUCCAUGCAUAAUAAGUUAUUACUUUAUCAACAAAUAUCAAGAAGAUAGCAGGGUCACGAGCAUCAACUUCAUAAGUUCAAGAAUAUCGAGGAAAUCCAGCUCCUCGAUACUACUGGGCAAACUAGAAGAUUGAAGAGGACAAAUCCUUUUGAACUAGUUUGAGUGAUAGGUGAUAGUGAAAAACGGAGCAUAGUGCUUGUGUGCUGUGCCUGUGUAUGUUAGAAUAAUAGUGCACGAUCUUGUUAGAUUAGAUAAGAGACGCUAUGGGGUAAGCUCUUCAUUUUAAGAAACAGUAGUAAUUUAGGUUAAAUUAAAAUUGCUCAUUGGUCAAUUAUGACCAGAUUGUUUUUUUAUGUUUGGCAAAAAGGACUUAAGUCAGAAUUGCACAUUGAUAAUGUUUUGAUGAUUUCUGGACCAGAAAAAAACUGUUGUAGAUGUAAACUGUAUGUACAGUAGAAUCUACUACAGUACUGUAGAAAUCAUCAAAACAUUAUCGAUGUGCAAUUCUGACUUAAGCCCUUUUUCCCAAACAUCAGAGAAUUGUAAUGUACAAUAAUUCUCCUAUCUGCUUUUUCAUGAAUUUUGUAGGAGACGAAAAACCAUUUUUAGGAUCAUCUGCUUUCACAUGUAAAUUUUGACAUGUUUUGUAGUAAAUAGAUAUUCUUGUUCUCAUGAUCAUUUUUCAGUGCGUCACAGUUUUUCGAUUUCUCUCUAAUGCAUUAAGUUAGAUGAGACGGAAAAAGCGGUAGCUCCGUGAUUAAACACAAAAAUAAUGCAGCAUUACAAUGGUUAUAUACAUAAGAUGUCUAUUCCUAACCUACGUUUGAUUCGUUGAUAUUUAGAAUGCGCGUUUUUUCUAGCCAAUCAAAUACACAUAUUACGAACAUUUGACGAAAACUUCGUCCAUUUUGGCCAUUUUUUAGAAGUGUCAAAGAGUCAAGUGACGGUUAUUAUUCAGGUCAGUAUUUUGUGUACCUGUCAUUUUGAAAUUUCGAAUUCGACUUCACUUGUGUUUCACAACGUCUUUGUGCAUUAUUUUGUGUUUUGGUUUAGAAUUUAGUUCGUUAAAAGUUAGUCAUUGGCGUGAGGAGACUAGAGACAUUCGAGAUGUACCGAAGAGUGCUAAAUAUCUCAUGAGUAGAUAGAAUAGCCAACGUGGAGGUAAUGAGACUUACGCAUAAGGAACGAGAACUAACAAAUAAGAAGAAAACUGAGAUAUAUGGGACAUGUGAUGAGAGAUGUAUAUCUAAUACUCCAGGUCAUUCAAGGAGACGUAACUCAUGGCUGAAGAACCUUAGGAACUGGUUUGGAUGUAAUAACAAUGAAUUAUUUAGAGCCGCGGUUUCAGAAAUAAAGAUCGCUCUGAUGAUUACCGACUUUUGAAGCGGAGACAGCACCUAGAGAAGAAGAUAAAAACACAGUUUAUGGAUAGUUUUGUGUCAUUUUUUAAUGUUUCCAUAUUUAUAAAAUUAAUUAACAAUAUUGUUUACUUUUUAAUUUUAUUCCCCUUUAUAAAAAAUACCUACAUGUUAACAUAUUGUGUAAAAAUCAAAUCUACUAAAUUACUAAUUAGUUUAAUUCCACAAGUAAUUUUCACCUAUGGCUAAGUACGAUUGUGGCAUCUGUCAGAUUCGUCAAUAAUUACAUGAAAUAAGUCUCGACACACCCAAUACAGUAUAUGACGUCAUAAUUAAUGACGCACUGAAAAAUGAUCAUGAGAACAAGUAUAGUUGAAUUUACUACAAAACAUGUCAAAAAAUAUAUGAAAACAGGAUGUGACUAUAAAAAAAGUUUUUAGUCUCUCUUACAAAACUCAUGAAAAACAAAUCGGAGAUAUGUCACAUCGGUGACUAUAUCCAGGGAAUGUCUAAAAAAUAUACUUUGAUGUCCCAAGAACCAAAUAUAACCUACAGUCCAUCUAAUUUACUUACCGUUGCACGUCAUUAUCUACGCCAGAGAUCUAAGUUGACAUAGUUGCCAAAGUAUAAAAAGAUCCUGAAUCCAUUUUAAAUCAAAUUUAUCACAUAAUUAUUGUAAACGUGGAUUAUACAACAAAACAAA
rnacentral:lncRNA from 1 species